rnacentral:rRNA from 1 species
AGACAGAGGUGGCAAGCGUUACUCGGAAUUAUUGGGCGUAAAGCGCGUGUAGGCGGUUGGUUAAGUCUGAUGUGAAAGCCCUGGGCUCAACCCGGGAAGUGCAUUGGAAACUGGCUAACUUGAGUACGGGAGAGGGUAGUGGAAUUUCGAGUGUAGGGGUGAAAUCCGUAGAUAUUCGAAGGAACACCGGUGGCGAAGGCGGCUACCUGGACCGAUACUGACGCUGAGACGCGAAAGCGUGGGGAGC